GAGAAAAAUCUAGAUGUAGAAUCUAGAAGGAGAUGUAGCUAUUGGGAAGCAGAAAUGCCAGCUGCUUCCAGAUGUUUGUACAGGAAUGAAAGACCAUGAGCUCCUCAGAGAGACCUUAUAGCUGCCUAAUCUUGUACUGUUCUUCUGUGACUGACAAGAGACCUCCCAGUCGAGACUGCAGAGUGCCCUGGAGGGCUGAAGAACCAGUCUUGGUCCCUAAUGGUAGUGCACCCCUUAGGUCUCCUCAGGCUUGCUCAGGAAUGUCACCAGAACAGCAAGCUAUCUCGGGCUACCUGGUCACUGAUUAAUCCUGCCAACUACAGACUAAGCUCAGUGGAUAACUCAAAACCAAGUUUCUUGUCUGAGCCUUGCCAUGAGACUCUUUUGUAGUGGCAAAGACAAAACUGAGCCAGCAAGACAGCUCAGUAAGUAAAGGAAUCCAGCAUCAA